rnacentral:rRNA from 1 species
UGGGGAAUUUUGGACAAUGGGCGAAAGCCUGAUCCAGCAAUGCCGCGUGUGUGAAGAAGGCCUUCGGGUUGUAAAGCACUUUUGUCCGGAAAGAAAUCCUUGGCUCUAAUACAGUCGGGGGAUGACGGUACCGGAAGAAUAAGCACCGGCUAACUACGUGCCAGCAGCCGCGGUAAUACGUAGGGUGCAAGCGUUAAUCGGAAUUACUGGGCGUAAAGCGUGCGCAGGCGGUUUGCUAAGACCGAUGUGAAAUCCCCGGGCUCAACCUGGGAACUGCAUUGGUGACUGGCAGGCUAGAGUAUGGCAGAGGGGGGUAGAAUUCCACGUGUAGCAGUGAAAUGCGUAGAGAUGUGGAGGAAUACCGAUGGCGAAGGCAGCCCCCUGGGCCAAUACUGACGCUCAUGCACGAAAGCGUGGGGAGCAAAACAGGAUUAGAUACCCUGGUAGUCCACGCCCUAAAACGAUGUCAACUAGUUGUUGGGGGAUUCAUUUUCCUUAGUAACGUAGCUAACGCGUGAAGUUGACCGCCUGGGGAGUACGGUCGCAAGAUUAAAACUUAAAGGAAUUGACGGGGUCAUAGCUGUUUCCU